AGAGUUUGAUCCUGGCUCAGAACGAACGCUGGCGGCGUGCCUAACACAUGCAAGUCGUACGAGAAAUCCUGGGCAACUGGGAGAGUAAAGUGGCGCACGGGUGAGUAACGCGUGGGUAACCUACCCUUGAAUUGGGGAUAACUCCUCGAAAGGGGAGUUAAUACCGAAUAAUAUUCCAGUUCCCAUGGGAGUUGGAAUCAAAGGUGGCCUCUGCAUGCAAGCUAUCGUUUAAGGAUGGGCCCGUGUGCCAUUAGCUAGUUGGUAGGGUAAUGGCCUACCAAGGCAACGAUGGUUAGCUGGUCUGAGAGGAUGGCCAGCCACACUGGAACUGAGACACGGUCCAGACUCCUACGGGAGGCAGCAGUGGGGAAUCUUGCGCAAUGGGGGAAACCCUGACGCAGCAACGCCGCGUGGGUGAUGAAGGCCUUCGGGUCGUAAAGCCCUGUCAGGUGGGAAGAAACCUGUGGAUGCUAAUAUCAUCCACACUUGACGGUACCACCGGAGGAAGCACCGGCUAACUCCGUGCCAGCAGCCGCGGUAAUACGGAGGGUGCAAGCGUUGUUCGGAAUUAUUGGGCGUAAAGCGCGUGUAGGUGGUUGGGUAAGUCAGAUGUGAAAGCCUCCUGCUUAACAGGAGAAGUGCAUUUGAAACUGCUCGGCUGGAGUACGGGAGAGGAGAGUGGAAUUCCCGGUGUAGAGGUGAAAUUCGUAGAUAUCGGGAGGAACACCAGUGGCGAAGGCGGCUCUCUGGUCCGAUACUGACGCUGAGACGCGAAAGCGUGGGGAGCAAACAGGAUUAGA
rnacentral:rRNA from 1 species